rnacentral:rRNA from 1 species
UACAGAGGUCCCGAGCGUUUGUUCGGAUUCAUUGGGCGUAAAGGGUGCGUAGGCGGUCUGCUAAGUUUGAUGUGAAAUCCCGGGGCUCAACCCUGGAAUUGCAUUGAAUACUGGUGGACUAGAGUACUGGAGAGGAAACUGGAAUUUACGGUGUAGCAGUGAAAUGCGUAGAGAUCGUAAGGAAGACCAGUGGCGAAGGCGAGUUUCUGGACAGUAACUGACGCUGAGGCACGAAGGCCAGGGGAGCAAACGGGG